AUCCUGUAGGCUGGGAGCUGUGUGGAGUUGAUGGUAUCUUGAGCACUUCAGCCUCACAGAAAGAGCAUCUUCUGGAGGAAGCUGAGGCAUGGCUGCCCGAGGUCCUGCCAGCCAUGUGCAAUUUUCCUCCCACAGCUUGUGAGCACUGUUGCCAUGGCAAUAGCCACUGCACCGUGUAGUUGUCUGUCAGCAACAGUCAGAGAUAACCCGAUCAUGAUAUUGUUUUGCAGAUAGAAUGGUUUCUGUUGAAUACAAAGUACCACUACCAAA